rnacentral:rRNA from 1 species
UACGGAGGGUGCAAGCGUUAUCCGGAUUCACUGGGUUUAAAGGGUGCGUAGGUGGUUUGUUAAGACAGGUGUGAAAUCCCCGGGCUUAACCUGGGAACUGCGCUUGUUACUGGCAGACUUGAGUGUGGCAGAGGGGGGUGGAAUUCCACGUGUAGCAGUGAAAUGCGUAGAGAUGUGGAGGAACACCGAUGGCGAAGGCAGCCCCCUGGGUUAACACCUGGACGCUCAUGCACGAAAGCGUGGGGAGCAAACAGG